AUCAUGUGGAAUGUCUGCGGAGACAUCAGAAUGCUCAAGAUUUUCAGGUUAUUUGGCAAGACAACGUUGAUCCUGACAAUAUGAGUUAUGAGGAAUUAUUGGAAUUAGGUGAGACAGUUGGAACCCAAAGUCGUGGUCUUUCCCAAGAACUUAUUUCCUUGCUUCCAGUGUCAAAGUACAAGCGCUGCUUUUUCUCAAGAAGGAAA
rnacentral:misc_RNA from 1 species